rnacentral:rRNA from 1 species
CCCGCCGGCGACCGGCGCACGGGUGAGUAACACGUAUGAAACCUGCCCGUAGCAGGGGGAUAAGCGGAAGAAAUUCCGUCUAAUACCGCGUAACAACCCGAGGAGGCAUCUCCUCGGGUUUAAAGGAAGCGAUUCCAGCUACGGAUGGUCAUGCGUCGCAUUAGCUAGUUGGCGGGGUAACGGCCCACCAAGGCGACGAUGCGUAGGGGUUCUGAGAGGAAGGUCCCCCACACUGGUACUGAGACACGGACCAGACUCCUACGGGAGGCAGCAG